GGUUAAGCGACUAAGCGUACACGGUGGAUGCCCUGGCAGUCAGAGGCGAUGAAGGACGUGCUAAUCUGCGAUAAGCGUCGGUAAGGUGAUAUGAACCGUUAUAACCGGCGAUUUCCGAAUGGGGAAACCCAGUGUGUUUCGACACACUAUCAUUAACUGAAUCCAUAGGUUAAUGAGGCGAACCGGGGGAACUGAAACAUCUAAGUACCCCGAGGAAAAGAAAUCAACCGAGAUUCCCCCAGUAGCGGCGAGCGAACGGGGAGCAGCCCAGAGCCUGAAUCAGUGUGUGUGUUAGUGGAAGCGUCUGGAAAGGCGUGCGAUACAGGGUGACAGCCCCGUACACAAAAAUGCACAUGCUGUGAGCUCGAUGAGUAGGGCGGGACACGUGGUAUCCUGUCUGAAUAUGGGGGGACCAUCCUCCAAGGCUAAAUACUCCUGACUGACCGAUAGUGAACCAGUACCGUGAGGGAAAGGCGAAAAGAACCCCGGCGAGGGGAGUGAAAAAGAACCUGAAACCGUGUACGUACAAGCAGUGGGAGCACGCUUAGGCGUGUGACUGCGUACCUUUUGUAUAAUGGGUCAGCGACUUAUAUUCUGUAGCAAGGUUAACCGAAUAGGGGAGCCGAAGGGAAACCGAGUCUUAACUGGGCGUUAAGUUGCAGGGUAUAGACCCGAAACCCGGUGAUCUAGCCAUGGGCAGGUUGAAGGUUGGGUAACACUAACUGGAGGACCGAACCGACUAAUGUUGAAAAAUUAGCGGAUGACUUGUGGCUGGGGGUGAAAGGCCAAUCAAACCGGGAGAUAGCUGGUUCUCCCCGAAAGCUAUUUAGGUAGCGCCUCGUGAAUUCAUCUCCGGGGGUAGAGCACUGUUUCGGCAAGGGGGUCAUCCCGACUUACCAACCCGAUGCAAACUGCGAAUACCGGAGAAUGUUAUCACGGGAGACACACGGCGGGUGCUAACGUCCGUCGUGAAGAGGGAAACAACCCAGACCGCCAGCUAAGGUCCCAAAGUCAUGGUUAAGUGGGAAACGAUGUGGGAAGGCCCAGACAGCCAGGAUGUUGGCUUAGAAGCAGCCAUCAUUUAAAGAAAGCGUAAUAGCUCACUGGUCGAGUCGGCCUGCGCGGAA
rnacentral:rRNA from 1 species